GCUGAAGUCUUAUCAGAGGAGUCCCCAGCCCAAGUCCACCUGGCGCCAAUUCUGAGCCUCUCUUCCCAUGAAUGAUGUCUGGAGACCUCUCGGCCUGGAACGUCUCAGUGAGCAGAGCUGGACCACGGCAUGGGAAGCAAGACACAUCCGACAUCCAGCCCAGAGAGAAGGCUGGGAGCGUCGCAGCUCAGCUCUUCCAGCAACACCGAGGAGUCAGAGUCCCUAGAAACUCAUCACCCGCCAGCUCUGUUCACGCACGUGCAAGAGCGAAAGUGUCCACCGAAGGGGACAUGUUUUACAGCAAAAUCUAGAACAGCAGGGAUGUCAGGACUUCAAAGCUUCCAUCUCCUCCUUGCCCCUCUGAUAUGGUGUCUCAGGAUUCUGGUAAGCUCAUCUCCAAAUGCCCUUGGGUUUUAUCAUUGCCCGAGAAGACAUGCCCAAACCGCCACAUCCCAGCUGGAAACAUCUUGUGUAGAAACAUCCAAAGGUGGCUUCAGCCCUGAGUUUUGUAGAUUUAAACUG
ensembl:lncRNA